rnacentral:misc_RNA from 1 species
GAUGAAACGUAGCGAAAUGCGAUAAGUAAUGUGAAUUGCAGAAUUCAGUGAAUCAUCGAAUCUUUGAACGCACAUUGCGCCCGCCAGUAUUCUGGCGGGCAUGCCUGUUCGAGCGUCAUUUCAACCAUCAAGCCCUGCUUGCGUUGGGGUCCUGCGGCUGCCCGCAGGCCCUGAAAACCAGUGGCGGGCUCGCUAGUCACACCGAGCGCAGUAAUACAUCUCGCUUUGGGCGUGCGGCGGGUUCUUGCCGUUAAACACCCCCUUUUUACCAAGGUUGACCUCGGAUCAGGUAGGAAUACCCGCUGAACUUAAGCAUAUCAAAAGCGGAGGA